rnacentral:rRNA from 1 species
GUGUCAGCCGCCGCGGUAAGACGGGGGGUCCUAGCGUUGUUCGGAAUCAUUGGGCGUAAAGCGGGCGUAGGUGGCUAUGUAAGUCAGGAGUGAAAGCCCUGGGCUCAACCCAGGAAGUGCUUUUGAAACUGCGUAGCUUGAGUGUGGAAGAGGAUAGUGGAAUUCCUGGUGUAGUGGUGAAAUACGUAGAUAUCAGGAGGAACACCGGUGGCGAAGGCGGCUAUCUGGUCCAACACUGACACUGAGGCCCGAAAGCGUGGGGAUCAAACAGGAUUAGAAACCCCGGUAGUCC